AGUGAACGCUGGCGGCAGGCCUAACACAUGCAAGUCGAACGGCAGCACAAGAGAGCUUGCUCUCUGGGUGGCGAGUGGCGGACGGGUGAGGAAUGCAUCGGAAUCUGCCCAUUUGUGGGGGAUAACCUCGGGAAACCGGGACUAAUACCGCAUACGACCUACGGGUGAAAGCAGGGGAUCUUCGGACCUUGCGCAGAUGGAUGAGCCGAUGCCGGAUUAGCUAGUUGGGGGGGUAAAGGCCCACCAAGGCGACGAUCCGUAGCUGGUCUGAGAGGAUGAUCAGCCACACUGGGACUGGGACACGGCCCAGACUCCUACGGGAGGCAGCAGUGGGGAAUAUUGGACAAUGGGCGCAAGCCUGAUCCAGCCAUGCCGCGUGUGUGAAGAAGGCCUUCGGGUUGUAAAGCACUUUUGUUGGGAAAGAAAAGCAGCCGGUUAAUACCCGGUUGUCAUGACGGUACCCAAAGAAUAAGCACCGGCUAACUUCGUG
rnacentral:rRNA from 1 species